UGGAAUAAUGUAGGCAAGGGAAGUCGGUAAAAUGGAUCCGUAAAUUUUGGGAAAAGGAUUAGCUCUGAAGGUUAGACACGAGGGUCUCAGUCCCGAAUCCGUUGGUUGUCGGUGGACUGCUCGAGCUGCUCUCAUAGCGAGAGCGGGUUGCCGCAUUCCAGCCAGGGGACAAACAGGGAGCGGUUCCCUCGGGGUCCUUCCACGGGCGUCAAACAGCCAACUCAGAGCUGGUAUGGACAAGGGAAUCAGACUGUUUUAUUAAAACAAGGCAUUGAGAUGGUCCGUGCGGAUGUUUGCGCAAUGUGAUUUUUGCCCAGUGCUCUGAAUGUCAAAGUGAAGAAAUUCAACCAAGCGCGGGUAAACGACAGGAGUAAAUAUGACUCUCUUAAGGUGGCCAAAUGCCUUGUCAUCUAAUUAGUGACGCGCAUGAAUGGGUUAACGAGAUUCCGACUGUCCUUGCCUACUAUCCAGCGAAACUAAAACCAAGGGAACGGGCUUGGCAGAAUAAGUGGGGAAAGAAGACCCUAUUGAGCUUGACUCUAUUCCGACUUUGUGAAAUGACUUAAGAGGUGUAGUAUAAGUGGGAGACGAAAGGCGAAAGUGAAAUACCACUACUUUAACAUUAUUUUGCUUAUUCCGUGAAUCAGAAGCGGGGCAUUGCCCCUCUUUUUGGACCCAAGGCUUGCUUGUAGGCCGAUCCUGGCAGAAGACAAUAUCAGGUUGGGAGUUUGGCUGGGCGGCACAUCUGUUAAAAGAUUACGCAGAUGUUCUAAUAUGAGCUCAACGAGAACAUAAAUCUCAUGUGGAAUAGAAGGGUAAAAGCUUGUUUGACUAUGAUUUUUAGAACGAAUAUGAUCCAUGAAAGAGUGGCCUAGCGAUCCUUUAGACCUUCGGAAUUCAAAGCUAGAGGUGUCAAAAUAGUUACUACAGGGAUAACUGGUUUGUGGCAGCCAAGCAUUCAUAGCGACGUUGCUUUUUGAUCUUUCAAUGUCGGCUCUUCUUAUCAUGGUGAGGCAAAAUUCACCAAGUGUUGGAUUGUUCACCCACUAAUAGGGAACGUGAGCUGGGUUUAGAUGUCAUGAUAUAGGUUAGUUUUACCCUACUAAUGACAGCGUCGCAAUAGUAAUUAAACCUAGUACGAGAGGAACCGUUGAUUUACAUAAUUGGUCAUCGCGCUUGGAUGAAAAGCCAGUGGCGCGAAGCUAACGUGCGCCGGAUUAAGACUGAACGCCUCUAAGUCAGAAUCUAAGCUAGAAGUGAUAUGUGCGUCUACUGUCUCUUGCCGACCCGCAGUAGGGGCCUUUGGCCCUAAGGGCAUGUGUCGUUUGCUAAGUCAUCACGGCGAAAGAGCCACGGAGUCUUCCUUGAAGUAUAACUUCCAUCGAGCGGCGGGUAGAACCCUUUGCAGACGACUUAAAUACGAAACGGGGUAUUGUAAGUGGCAAAGUGGCUUUGCUGCCACAGUCCACUGAGAUUUAGUCCUUUGUCACUCCGAUUC
rfam:Nicotiana attenuata strain TT chromosome 5, whole genome shotgun sequence.